GUUCCACCUGGCGGCUGGCUCUCAGUCCCCGCGCUGUAGUCGCGGAGCUGUGUCUGUUCCCCGGAGUCCGUCGGCGGCUGUUGUGUCGGGAGCCUGAUCGCGAUGGGGACAAAGGCGCAAGUCGAGAGGAAACUGUUGUGCCUCUUCAUAUUGGCGAUCCUGUUGUGCUCCCUGGCAUUGGGCAGUGUUACAGUGCACUCUUCUGAACCUGAAGUCAGAAUUCCUGAGAAUAAUCGUGAGUUGGGAGGGGCCAUGGAGGGUGUGAGGGUGAGCAGUUGCCGGCCGCCUGGGGAUCUAGAGAGCACCCAGCCCAGCCUGCAGUUUGGGGCUGUUCCCCAUCUCGUGUAUUUGCUGCUGCUUCCUCCUUUGGCUCAUUUUGACCCUGUCUGCAGCUGUGAAGUUGUCCUGUGCCUACUCGGGCUUUUCUUCUCCCCGUGUGGAGUGGAAGUUUGACCAAGGAGACACCACCAGACUCGUUUGCUAUAAUAACAAGAUCACAGCUUCCUAUGAGGACCGGGUGACCUUCUUGCCAACUGGUAUCACCUUCAAGUCCGUGAC
rnacentral:sRNA from 1 species